GAAAAGAAACUAACAAGGAUUCCCCUAGUAACUGCGAGUGAAGCGGGAAAAGCUCAAAUUUAAAAUCUGGCGGUCUUCGGCCGUCCGAGUUGUAGUCUGGAGAAGUGCUUUCCGCGCUGGACCGUGUAUAAGUCUCUUGGAACAGAGCGUCAUAGAGGGUGAGAAUCCCGUCUUUGACACGGACUACCAGUGCUUUGUGAUGCRCUCUCAAAGAGUCGAGUUGUUUGGGAAUGCAGCUCAAAAUGGGUGGUGAAUUCCAUCUAAAGCUAAAUAUUGGCGAGAGACCGAUAGCGAACAAGUACCGUGAGGGAAAGAUGAAAAGCACUUUGGAAAGAGAGUUAAACAGUACGUGAAAUUGCUGAAAGGGAAACGCUUGAAGUCAGUCGCGUCGUCCAGAACUCAGCCUCGCUCUCGCUUGGUGCACUUUCUGGAUGACGGGCCAGCAUCGAUUUUGACCGUCGGAAAAGGGCUGGGGUAAUGUGGCACCUCCGGGUGUGUUAUAGACUSCAGUCGCAUACGACGGUCGGGAUCGAGGUUCGCAGCGCGCCGCAAGGCAGGGGUUCGCCCACUUUCGCGCUUAGGAUGCUGGCAUAAUGGCUUUAAAC
rnacentral:rRNA from 2 species